CGCGAUGCCAAGUCCGUCGAAAGUCGAAUUGUUUAUUUCGUCGUGGCACAUUCUAUAAUACAUUUGCGAUGAAUCAGGAGCUAAGGAACUUGUUCUGAAAUCCUCCUAUAGUUUCCGAGAUAAUUAUAAUCAGAGUUGCCAUGCCCUUUUAGUGAAAUUGGGUGACAACUCUGGUUCUCAGCACAUAGGUUUAGGUUUCAUAGAACUAAAAUUGCAAUCGCAGCAACCCGAUUGAUUUGUGAAAAAAUUUGACGUCCGACAAUUCAGUACGACAUUUCACAUUUAUAAAAUUGAUUUCAGGCUGUGAACACUUGUCCUGCAUAAAUUAUUUUUCCUCGCGCGAUGCCAAGUCCAUCAAAAGUCGAAUUGUUUACUCCGUCGUAACAGCAACGAAAUGCUCCAGAAUAUUCUUUCGGAUGACGGUGAAGAGCCCUAAGAAUAUGACGACCACGAAGGGUCAGAAAAAGCGCAGAAGGAAUUCCAAGUUUUUUGACAGGGCCCAAAUGCCUGUAGAAGAUUCAGAAAUAAAUGAAGCCUUAAAAUCAGACACCUUUGCCCGAACUCCUUCCGUCCUGUGCUCCGAUCCUAGAACCGUCGCCCUGCAAGUUUUGUGUGCAGGGUGUCGCUUUGAAGUUGGCCAACCAGGGGAGCUCUGAACCCAUUCAAUUAGAUCCGUCGAGCAGCUAAUGCCACCACCGAGAUCAUCAAGGGUACUCAAAGCUCUACGAUUACCAACCCAGAAUAAGUUGAACCUCGCAAAGUUGAUUCUGUAGAGCCGGAGUUCGGAAAACGUGUGCACGGUGAAGAGUUUCUGGAAACUUCUAGAGACUUCUGAACAUUCCUGACUUUCCUGAACAUUUGGGUUCAUCAGCUUUUUGGCUAUUUCGCUUUUAAAGCCAACGGCUCCUGGUUCUGCGGAUAUUGGCUUUGGAUCAAUUCCGCAAAAGCCCCACGAUGAGUGAUAGAUUCCGGAGGGGAUACAGCUAUGUAGCAAGACCAUCUCCCAGCAACUGCAACUUAUAAUAGUUCGUCAGGAGCAGUGCCACAGAAGAUCCGGAUCCUCAGAAGUCCUGCCAAAUCUUAAAGCGAGCCCUUGCGCCGGCGUUUGGAAAUUAAGUUCUGUAAUCUGUUCCACUCUUCAAAUGAACACAAAGUUGUGUCUUGAGAUGGCUGCAAAGAAAUUGGAUAAUACCGUCUUCAAAAGCGACAUAGGUGGAACGAAGUGCGAAUCGCGGUCUGGCGGACAUGUUUGGAGCAGCUUGUGGCACGGAUCGACCCUGUCUUGGCCACGAUAUCGCUUAGGGUUUCGUUCACCCAUUCCUCACUUCUUCUGUUUAUAAUCAUCAACGUGCCAUUGGUCAUCAUCAAUUGCAAGUUGAUGAUUAUAAACGGAAGAAGUGGGAAAAUGAUGAUCGAAACCCUAAGCAAUAUCGUGGCCAAGACAUAGGGACGGUGAAUAUUUAAGGUCGAUCCCUCCCAGAAGCUACUCCAAAUAUGUCUGCGAAGCCUCAAAUCGGACUUCAAUUACUCCUAUGUCGCUUUUGAAGACGGCGUUGUCCAUUCUCCUUACAGCCGUCUCAAGAUCCAAAUUCGUGUUCAUUUGGGCAUAAUCAAUGGCUCGUUGAUGGUUAUGAACGGAAGAAGUGAGAAAAUGAUGGCCGAAGAAAAUCCUGCUUUGGGCGAGCUAUCGGAUGCCCCAA